rnacentral:rRNA from 1 species
CCUACGGGUGGCAGCAGUGGGGAAUAUUGCGCAAUGGGCGAAAGCCUGACGCAGCGACGCCGCGUGAGGGAUGAAGGUCUUCGGAUCGUAAACCUCUGUCAGCGGGGAAGAACGGUUACUGUGCUAAUCAGCAGUGAAUUGACGGUACCUGCAAAGGAAGCACCGGCUAACUCCGUGCCAGCAGCCGCGGUAAUACGGAGGGUGGGAGCGUGAAGCGGAAUUACUGGGCGGAAAGCGCUCGUAGGCGGUAUGUCAAGUCAAGGGUGAAAUCCCCGCGCUCAACGUGGGAACUGCCUUUGAAACUGGCAAACUGGAGUUUGUCAGAGGAUAGUGGAAUUCCAGUUGUAUGCG